CAUGUUUGUGUUUUUCUAUGGAACAGUGUUUUUAUUAAACACUCGGACAGGAUGGACCUGACGUCACACGCCGUUUCUGAUUAUGUUACAAGAGGCGGGGCUUGGAAAGAUGAGAACCAAUCUGGAAGCAUCACACGCCAGCCAACAGCCAAUAGGACACCAGCAAAUAUCAGUUCAGAUGUUGCUAUGGAAGCUCCGCCCCCUCUGAGGUCAGAAGAUGCAGACAGCAGCAACGACUCUUUGAUUGACAGCUCGUCCCGACUCCUGCCUGCCCUCAGUCAGCUGACCUCUGACCUCGGUGAGGAAACGCCUAAUGUGUGAUGUCAUCAGUUACGUAUUAACAAUGAUGUCAUCUCUUCGUCUCUCAGGAGUGGAUGGUUCAGCUGAGUCUCCGCCCCCAAGCGAUAUAAACCAUGGACAGAAGGCCAAUCAGAAGCGGUUACACUCGACUAAACGCAAAACUAACUCCGCCC
rnacentral:lncRNA from 1 species